rnacentral:rRNA from 1 species
UCUGACCUCAAAUCAGGUAGGACUACCCGCUGAACUUAAGCAUAUCAAUAAGCGGAGGAAAAGAAACUAACAAGGAUUCCCCUAGUAACGGCGAGUGAACCGGGAAGAGCUCAAAUUUGAAAUCUGGCGUCCUCAGGGCGUCCGAGUUGUAAUCUAUAGAGGCGUUUUCCGUGCCGGACCGUGUCCAAGUUCCUUGGAACAGGAUAUCAAAGAGGGUGACAAUCCCGUACUUGACACGACGACCGGUGCUCUGUGAUACGUCUUCUACGAGUCGAGUUGUUUGGGAAUGCAGCUCAAAAUGGGUGGUGAGUUCCAUCUAAAGCUAAAUAUUGGCGAGAGACCGAUAGCGAACAAGUACCGUGAGGGAAAGAUGAAAAGCACUUUGGAAAGAGAGUUAAACAGUACGUGAAAUUGUUGAAAGGGAAACGAUUGAAGUCAGUCGUGACCGAGAGGCUCAGCCGGUUCUGCCGGUGUAUUCCCCUCGGUCGGGUCAACAUCAGUUUUGUCCGGUGGAUAAGGACGGUAGGAAGGUGGCACCCUCGGGUGUGUUAUAGCCUGCCGUCGCAUACAUCGGGUGAGACUGAGGAACGCAGCUCGCCUUUAUGGCCGGGGUUCGCCCACGUCCGAGCUUAGGA